rnacentral:rRNA from 1 species
GACGAACGCUGGCGGCGUGCUUAACACAUGCAAGUCGAACGGAAAGGCCCUGCUUUUGUGGGGUGCUCGAGUGGCGAACGGGUGAGUAACACGUGAGUAACCUGCCCUUGACUUUGGGAUAACUUCAGGAAACUGGGGCUAAUACCGGAUAGGAGCUCCUGCUGCAUGGUGGGGGUGGGAAGUUUUGGCGGGUUGGGGUGGAACUGGCGGCUUAUCGGUUGGUUGUUGGGGUGUGGGCUAACCAGGGCUUUAAGGGGUAGCCGGCCUGAGGGGGUGACCGGCCACAUUGGGCCUGAGCUACGGCCCAGACUCCUACGGGAGGCAGCAGUGGGGAAUAUUGCACAAUGGGCGGAAGCCUGAUGCAGCAACGCCGCGUGCGGGAUGACGGCUUUCGGGUUGUAAACCGCUUUCGCCUGUGACGAAGCGUGAGUGACGGUAAUGGGUAAAGAAGCACCGGCUAACUACGUG